CUUUUCAUCCUUAUAAAAUCUCAAAUCCAUCUUAUCGUUCCCAGUAAUUUGAUCUUCUUCUCCUCCUGCCGGCCAUCGUCUCUAUUCUCUAAUCCUUUUUGAUACGAGCCAAGUGGCCAUCCUAGUUUUGGAAGACAUCAUUCGAGGCCAACAUGCAAAGGAUCCGGUUGUGAUCACAUUGAGGGGAAGAGAGCAUGCAUGGAAAGGUCAUUUCGAGCAUUCCAUGAGGCAAAGCCGCGUGUGAAAGGUGGCUUGGGGGAUGCUUGAAGAACCACGGCCUUGGAGCAUUGAAGAGUACCUUCAUUAAGCAUGUUUUAGGGAUUUCACAUGUCCAAUUUACACUCCAUAGGCACCCACCCUUCAUUAAGGGUGUUUUGGUCUUUUUGCCCUUCAAUUGUAAUAAGACUAUAUAUAGUUUAGUAUUAGGGCUUUUACUCUUUAGUUGUUUAUUGACGUAAGACUUGAAACAUUGUAACAAACUCUCUCUAGUGCGAGGAAUGUAACACCUUUAGUUGUAGGGCUUGGAAUAGCCACUAAAUCGAAAUGAGGGCAACAAGUGUGGAUAUCACUUGUGUUGCAAUGUUGGCUUGAUACGUUGGUGUUUAGAGGAGGUAAAGUUCCUCUUGUAUUAACGUAGGAGUUAGGCGUUUGUCGUGUGUAGUGUUAAGGAUCCAAAAGUCCACCAAA